rnacentral:tRNA from 1 species
GUGGGAGUGGCGGAACCGGCAGACGCACCGCGUCGAGAGCGCGGCGAUCAUCAUCGUGUGGGUUCAACUCCCACCUCCCACA